AGGACAAUAAUACUGCUAUAUCAAUGGGUCAGUCAUUCAGUAAUGAUGAUAGCAAUAUUACUUCAAUUUGCCAAACUCUUAGUAAGGUCACUGACACCAAUCCACCCAUGAGCCACUGCUACAGCAGAGUUGAUGACAAUACAAUAUCGGUGAGUCAGACCUUUAGCAAAGUUGAAAACAAUAAUUUGUCAAUGAGCCAAUCUUUUGGUAGGGGAGAUAGCAAUAUCAUAUCUUUGGCAAUGACAAUACAAUAUCGGUGAGUCAGACCUAUAGCAAAGUUGAAAACAAUAAUUUGUCAAUGAGCCAAUCUUUUGGCAGGGGAGAAAGCAAUAUCAUAUCUUUUGGUGGAUUCAAUGAUGAUGACGAUAUAAAUUCUUCUGGAAGGCUGAUUUGCAGUUAUGACUUA
rnacentral:lncRNA from 1 species